UUCACUUCUUUUGGGUAAAUGCCCAGAAGUGGGGCUGCUGGAUCAUAGGGUAGCUCUAUGUUUAAUUUUUUGAGGAACCUCCACACUGUUUUCCACACAGCUGCACGAUUUUGCGUUCUCACCAGCCAUGGACAAGGGUUCCACUUUCUCCGCAUCCUCGCGGUUACUUGUUGGCUUUUGUUUUAUUGAUGAUAUCCAUCCUAGUGGAUGCAGGCAGUAACCCGCUGCAGGCUUGAUUUGCAUUCCCUAAUGAUUGGUGAGGCGGGGCGUCCUUUCGUGUGCUUACUGGUCAUUUGGAUAUCUUCUUUGGAGAAAUGUCCUUUGCCCAUUUUAAAAAAUUGGAUUGGUCUUUGUUAUUGGGCACUGGGAGUUCUUUAUAUAUUCUGGAUAUUAGUCCCUAAACACCAUCUUCAGUUCUUGCCUUUCCAGGCGCACUGCAUCCGAUGGCCUCCAGCCCACGAGUGAAAACCGCUCCUCCAAAGCCCUGCCUCACCCCGGCAGUUCGCCCGGCUCCUCCCCGCCGCCCUGGCUGUGACACCGCCUCACUCUGUGUCUACACUCCAACAGUUUGUUUUUAAGUGUAUUUGGCUUUUGGUGUUAAAUAUGUUUGCCUCACUCUCAAUUUUUUAAAUUCCUCAGGAUAAUAAUAAUAACUGAAAUGUCCUGAAGGUUGCCAUGUGCCGGGCACUAGUCAGCAGGUUAGUAGGUGACCCAUUUCAAGCCAGAUGCUGCUUGGUUGCCGUUUUUACAAGGAGGACAUCAAAAUACCCGAAUUCGAUCAGUGUCACACACCCCACAGACCUGGAGCGGACCAGCCUGGCUCCAGACGCCCAGCUUUCCACCCCACACUGUGGAAGUUUCUUCUUGCCUGCCCGUGGUGGUGACUUCCUGACACAGCAUAUCAGCGGAUUGUUUCUUGGCGCCAGCGCUUGUGCCUCUAAAUUUCAGUCGAAGUGGUUUUGAUUCCCGCUUUGUUCUUGGUCACAGCGGAGGCUAAUACCACUUCCUGGUUUUCUAGUGGUUUUGUGGCUUAUCAAAAACUAAAUAUGGUUGCUCUCGGGAAGGCUGGUAACAAAUCCUCAAGGACCAAAUGUUAUGUAGAACCACCCACUCUAGUUUAAGAGGAAAAUAAGUAUAAAACUGGGUCACAGGCAUGUGGCAGGUCCAUGAGAUCCUUGGAAGUUCUAGGAAUCACCGGCUGUGAAAGUAAGAACAGCUCCGGGUCUCGUGGGUUUGCUUGGGGCCGGGGCGGGGGGUGGGGUGGGUUGUGCUGUAUUCUUCCCUUACGUUCUCUCUCUUGAUUCUCCCAAAACCCCUGUGAGGCAGGUGAUGGGUCCACAGUUAUGUGUCUAACACCAGCUAAGUGCCAGGCAUGGUCCUGUGCUGUGAGGACUCAGCCAUGAGCAUAGAAGACAAGAUCCUGGCCCUGGAGCAGCCCCCUUUACAGCAGAGAGACGGACAGGAAAUGAGAAAAGGGACCAAAGGAGAAGCUCAGAGACCAGGAAAGGACAGCGAGUGCACGAUGGCAGCCCGAACCAGGGUGGAGGGUAAGUGUGAAGGCUGCUGGAGGCAGAAGCAGUGCAUGUGCAGGAUCAGGAAAGGGAGGGUUGGGGGUGAGCACAGCUGGGUGGAUGGUGGAGCCGUACUUACUGAGACGGAAGACCCUGGGGCAUUGGUUUUGGGGGAGGGAAUCGAGGUUGGAUCUGGACAGUUUCCAUUUGAAGUUCCUGCUGGACAAGCACCUAAGGAUGGAUGUGGGCCCGGAGCACAGAGAGCGGUCAGGAGACACCAGGUUGGAAGUCAGCAGCACAGAAGAGGUAUUUAAAGCUGAGGGAAUUUAUCAGUAACCCGGGGGAGUAGGAAACAGCAAUGGGGAUGGAGGGGUACCUGCCAUCGUCUGUCAGAUGUCUGUCUGGCCCAGAGCAUCCUUCCCACUUAUCCUCCAACCUUCUGAAGUUUUCAUGGACGGUGGCCACGGUCGUGAGUGUGACUGAAGGGGACUCUCCUGAGGUUCAGGGCACAGAGGUAGUUCCCCUGGGUCUUUUGUUAGCGCAGCACCCCCACCCCCACUCCCACCCAACCCAGCUGCCCUUUCACGCCUGUAUUCUAGAGCAAGUGCCCAAAUCUGUGUCCAUCUUGAUCUCACCCCUUCACCCAGAGAGAGUAAUUGGGAAAUUGACCCUCCGCCUUACUUACUGUCCACACAUGUGGCAUAGAAAGAAAUCUAGAAUUUUCCUUUUGACUUUUUCCUUCGCUGUUGAUUUGUGCCAAUGGUCAGCGUCUUGCUGGGUGAAUUCUGCUUCUCGGCCCUGUUCUUCAGGUACAGAGGGAUUCUGUUCUUGCCCAGGAGCGGGUUUUCCCCCCUACCCCGCCCGCCCACAAGUAUAUUUUGCACAUAAGUUCUUAGCCACUCUCCUUCGUUGAGAUUUUUAAAGAGGGAAUGGUUUUGGCUGUCAAGUUUCUCUAACAGAAUCGUCCUUGCUACACACGAAGGCUGCUGGUUUUCCCUCUAGGAACCCCAGGCAGGCUCCCUGCUUUGCAUGUGGCUGGGUAAACUGGAGGGUGAGUCACGGGAGUGACAGCGGAGUCCGCUGCAGGGGAGCUCACGUGGGUGCUCGGCUGGGACACACGGAGCAUGUGUAGAACCAGUUGGCUCACAUUCUGCAUUGGGCAACGUGUGCCGACACAGAGGGACUCUUGUUUUUGAGUCUCUUGCUUUCCCACACCCUCUGAUACUGCCACCCCCACCCCGCUGGCUCCUGCCAGCUCCUCGGCCCCGCCCAGGCUGAGCUGCCACCCAGCCCUGCGUUUGGGAGCAACUCCGCGGCUGCCCCAGGCAGCCUCAGCUCCCCUGACUUGCUGAGGCUUUCUCCUGCUGUCUCUCAAGCCCAUCCACUUCCCUCCAUCCCUCAGUCCGCCUAGCCAAGCAGGGCGGCAGCCAGCCCUUGCUGGGACGACCGCAUCUGCCCCUUACUUGACCUCCUCGUCUCCUGGAGCGGUCUCUGCUCACUCACUUCUCCCCCACUUGGCAGCGAGGAUGAUUUCUCUAAAUCACAAGUCUUCAUCGCAUGACUUCCCUGCUUAAUCAUUCCAGGGUUUCCUAUCGCUCUCAAGUCUGAACCGCUGAGGCACUUAGAGGAAGGCUUCUCCACUGUGACUGUGCACCAGGUCCCCUGGGGAUCUGAAAGCACGGAUUCUGAGUCAGUAAGUCUGCAAUCAGGGCUGAUAUUCUGCAUUUCUCAUAAGCUCCCGGGUGGGGCCUGUCCUGCUGGUCUGUGCAGGCCACUCUGAGGAGCAAGGACCAGGAGGUCCCCUGCCUGUCUCCCUAACCUCAUCUCUUGCCACCUUCCCAACUCUGUUCCAGCCACACUGAACUUAUUCUAGCUCCCAGAAUGCAUCACAUUUCCACUCAUCCCUGGGCCUUUGCACGUGCACCCUCACUAGCGCACUCUUGUACCCCAGCCUGGCUGGCUUCUGCCCUUUAUUUCAGUUAGAGGGUAGAUGUCAUUUCCUCUAGGAAGUCUUCUCUGAUUCUCCAACCCCAGGGAACAAAUUGGGGAGUGUGUUUGUGGCCCAGCAGUGGUGUGAGGUGGAGGGAUAGGGUGGUAAUAAUGUUAUGCUCAGGGACAAGGUCAAAGGGGUGAGUGAGCUGAACCGUGAGGUACAAGGUGGCAGCCAGAGAGGUGGGGAGCCAUUUCCUUCUACAGAAUGUUCUAGGAAGAAGAUUCUCGUGUCCCCUGUGGUGGACAGAAGACUGUCUGACCUGAGCUUGUGCAAAGGGUCCCAGGUCUCCUGCUGAGCAGAGAGGAUCCCCGAGGAAAGGCCACUGCUUCCGCCGCACGAGGUCAGCCACACAACUGUGUGUGUGUCCUCAGGCCACCUGAAAGUCAUGUCUGCAUGACCAAGGCUGUUACAAGGAUGAAAACUUUUUCCAGAAAGUUCUUUUUUGACCACAGCCUGAGAGAGAAUCAUGGAGACAAGUUUCUACAGUAGAAAUCUCCUUUCCUUAAGAAAAUCUUUUUCUUUAAAAGUAUCCUUUAAUUUUUUUUCUCUUUUUUAGUUUAUGUGCUCCUUUGGUCCUUGUUUGAUUUUUGACUUAUAAAGUUAUUUCCUAUGCAG